rnacentral:rRNA from 1 species
CGGACCGGCGCACGGGUGCGUAACGCGUAUGCAACCUACCUUUAACAGGGGGAGUAACACUGAGAAAUUGGUACUAAUACCCCAUAAUAUCAUAGAAGGCAUCUUUUAUGGUUGAAAAUUCCGAUGGUUAGAGAUGGGCAUGCGUUGUAUUAGCUAGUUGGUGGGGUAACGGCUCACCAAGGCGACGAUACAUAGGGGGACUGAGAGGUUAAUCCCCCACACUGGUACUGAGACACGGACCAG